GCACUGGUUGCGGGAGCUGGUCUUGGACCCGAACCGGAUCAAGACCCUGGGGGAGAACUACUUCUUUGGUCAGGCUUUCCUGCUGGAGCUGCACCUGGCAGAGAACCACCUCCAACCCGUUACCAAAAAUGAGGAGACUGUUCCUGGGUAUGAACAAACUACAGAUGAGAAACAAAAGCACAGCAGCACUGCCAACCACGCCCGUAUUGCCCAGGCAGUGAGGACAUUCAGGCAGAUCAGAAGAACAGCAAGCACCCUGCCAACCAACGGGUACAGGGACCUUAUCACCUACCCCAACCAACAGUGGACGGGUGUGUUCCUAAACCCGCAAUCUAAGCCGCCAGUACAGCAAUGGGAUGAUCCUGAUGCUCCUGUGUGUGCAGUUGCACUGACAGAGAAGUGGUGGGAAUGUUGCUCAAAUCAGCUGAACUUCUGCUCUAUAGACUGUAUAUAACUCAACUGCAGAUUACGUC
rnacentral:lncRNA from 1 species